rnacentral:rRNA from 1 species
GACGAACGCUGGCGGCGCGCUUGACACAUGCAAGUCGAACGGAAAGGCCUGCUUUCCCUUGUGGAUUGCGGGUACUCGAGUGGCGAACGGGUGAGUAACACGUGAGUGAUCUGCCCCCAACUUGGGUAUAAGCCUGGGAAACUGGGUCUAAUUCCCGAUAGGACUGCAGGGUGGUGCCUGUGGUGGAAAACGAUUUUCUAGUGGUUGGGGAUGAGCUCGCGGCCUAUCAGCUUGUUGGUGGGGUAAUGGCCUACCAAGGCGGCGACGGGUAGCCGGCCUGGGAGGGUGGACGGCCACAUUGGGACUGAGAUACGGCCCAGACGCCUACGGGAGGCAGCAGUGGGGAAGAAUGCACAGUGGGCGGAAGCCUGAUGCAGCGACGCCGCGUGGGGGAUGACGGCCUUCGGAUUGUAAACUCCUUUCGACCGCGAGGAAGCCACCUGGUUGGAAGGGUGGUGACGGUAGUGGUAGAAGAAGCACCGGCUAACUACGUG